rnacentral:rRNA from 1 species
AUUGAACGCUGGCGGCAGGCUUAACACAUGCAAGUCGAGCGGGGGAAGGUAGCUUGCUACCGGACCUAGCGGCGGACGGGUGAGUAAUGCUUAGGAAUCUGCCUAUUAGUGGGGGACAACAUCUCGAAAGGGAUGCUAAUACCGCAUACGUCCUACGGGAGAAAGCAGGGGAUCUUCGGACCUUGCGCUAAUAGAUGAGCCUAAGUCGGAUUAGCUAGUUGGUGGGGUAAAGGCCUACCAAGGCGACGAUCUGUAGCGGGUCUGAGAGGAUGAUACGGCAAGCUGGAACUGAAACACGGCCCAGACGCCUACGGGAGGCAGCAGUGGGGAAUAUUGGACAAUGGGGGGAACCCUGAUCCAGCCAUGCCGCGUGUGUGAAGAAGGCCUUAUUGUUGUAAAGCACUUUAAGCGAGGAGGAGGCUACUCUAGUUAAUACCUAGGGAUAGUGGACGUUACACGCAGAAUAAGCACCGGCUAACUCUGUGCCAGCAGCCGCCGUAA